CCUACGGGAGGCAGCAGUGGGGAAUAUUGCACAAUGGGCGAAAGCCUGAUGCAGCGACGCCGCGUGAGCGAUGAAGUAUUUCGGUAUGUAAAGCUCUAUCAGCAGGGAAGAAAAUGACGGUACCUGACUAAGAAGCCCCGGCUAACUACGUGCCAGCCGCCGCGGUAAU
rnacentral:rRNA from 1 species